GUUCCCUCUACAAGCAUACUCCUGCUGCUGAUUGGAGCUUUGUUUGGGUUCGGUGAAGCUCCUUCGACAAACUCCUUUUCCCUCUGCAAGGUAUGGCACGUAAGACUAGCUUGAUUGCUGAAGUUGAUGAUUCAAAAGAAACAUGGAAAUUGGGAGUAAGAAUAACUAAUCUUUGGGUUGUUGAGAAGUCAUCGAAAGUGAAUGCUAUGGAAAUGAUAUUUAUGGAUCAAAAGGUAGUUUCCUUAACUGAGGCUUCAUGUUCAUUUUGAAAUACUACACUUAUUGACUAUGAGAUUUUUAUGUUCCUACUAAGAGAGUCUUUAAGAAACUUUAUUACUAAAAUUUUCUCUCAUGGAGCUAGAGCUCAUUAAGUUUGUUUGAACUUUCCAAAGCAACAUUAUACAAGUUGCACUUUCCCUAUUAUUAAUAUUCAUAUUUGAAUAUGAUAUAGGCUUUUUGGUAUGUUUACAUAUUGUGGAAGAAGUUUUUUUCUCAUCUGGGAGUUCUCAACUUCCUCAUCAUGUAAGUGAUUCUAAACCCAUUAUAAACUAGCAUAUUAAUAUUGAAUGGCAAAUUAAUAACCACAUUUCAUAUUAUUUGCAGGGCCGAUGCACCAUGUUUUGUUGUCCAAAUUUACAACUUGCUGAAGUGUUACUUUUUGGAGAUUUGGUUUGUACUUUGGUCUCAUUACAGCAAAUGCUUUGUAAUUUGGACUAAUCAGUAAAAUAUUAUUGCUAAAAAGUUUAUAAAUAUGAGCUGACAUUAAGUUUAAAGCUACUCCUUCUGACUUAAAUAAUUUAUCUUAUGUAUUUAGCUUGCAAUGGAAAUACAAGUUUUAGCUCUUGAUUCUACAAAGUCACAACAAAUCAUGUGAAAUUCAAAAUAUUGUGAGUUAUUUACUAUUUCACUCAUUACUUUAUAUCACUUCAAAUCUUCUACUCUUUCUUUUGAUCUUCUUAUACUAGAAGUGUACUAAGUACUAACUCAUUAAACCAUAAAAGCAUUUCUUUUGUUGUUGCUUAAUCAAUUCAUGGUUGCUAGCAUCAAUUCUACUUUACAAGUAUCACUUGACUUGGGAGAUUUAUGUUCUAACAUUGUUCAAUGUUAUCCCUUAAUUAUCACCUGCUUUCUUGAUAUUGUUUUUACCUUAGUUUAAUAUUUCUUUGGUUAUUGUAGGGGCUGUGGAUGCUCCAAUCAUCUGCCAAGGUUCAACCUUUGUGUCGUCACUACUCGAUUCAAGAAAGGUUCUUCUCAACGAUUCAAGUGGCCACCGUAUGCAUAUGGUGUUUGGAUUUAUCAAAUCUAAAUCAAAAUUACAAUUAUUUGUUCUUUCACACAUGUUUGCCUGGAUUUUUAGUUUACAUGGAUAUAACUGUUUGUAAGGUUAUAAUGUAUUCUGUCAUCAAAUUUGGAUAACUGACCUCAUGGGUGUUGUGAUUCAA